UAUUGACCCCAAUGCCAUUACUUAUGGUUAUUAUAAUAAGGCUGUUUUGGAAAGUACCUGGCCUUCAAGAAGUCGUAGUGGCUAUUUUCUUUGGACAAAAGUAAGAAAUGUUGUUUUAGGAGUAACACAGUUCAAAAGAGCUUUAAAGAAGCAUGCACACUUAUCACAAACAACUCUCUCAGGUGGCCAGUCUGAUCUUGGAUAUAAUUCAUUAUCUAAAGAUGAAGUUAGAAGAGGGGAUACAUCUACUGAAGACAUUCAAGAAGAAAAAGAUAAAAAAGGGAGUGAUUGUAGUUCCUUGUCAGAGAGUGAGAGUACAAAAGGAAGUGCUGAUUGCCUUCCUAAGCUCAGUUAUCAAAAUUCUUCCAGUAUCGUUCGCCUCACUGGUACAAGUAACAACAGUGCUGGUAAAAUAUCAGGAGAAAGCAUGGGUAAGUUGAAUAGUACGCUUGUGUUAUGUGCGGAAUAAAUUGUAUCUGUA
rnacentral:lncRNA from 1 species